AUUAAACGCUGGCGGCAUGCCUUACACAUGCAAGUCGAACGGCAGCACGGGGGCAACCCUGGUGGCGAGUGGCGAACGGGUGAGUAAAGCAUCGGAACGUGCCCUGGAGUGGGGGAUAACGUAGCGAAAGUUACGCUAAUACCGCAUAUUCUGUGAGCAGGAAAGCAGGGGAUCGCAAGACCUUGCGCUCUGGGAGCGGCCGAUGUCGGAUUAGCUAGUUGGUGGGGUAAAGGCCUACCAAGGCGACGAUCCGUAGCGGGUCUGAGAGGAUGAUCCGCCACACUGGGACUGAGACACGGCCCAGACUCCUACGGGAGGCAGCAGUGGGGAAUUUUGGACAAUGGGCGAAAGCCUGAUCCAGCCAUGCCGCGUGAGUGAAGAAGGCCU
rnacentral:rRNA from 1 species